rnacentral:lncRNA from 1 species
CUUCUUUAUCAAAUCUCAGCCAGUCACUGUCCUUGGGAAGAAAUAAAUUUUAGGUCUAAAAAUUAAGUAAUAAACAUAUCUGGCAGGUAAAAAUAUCUGGAUAAUUAAGUAGAAUUUUUCAUUUCUUCAUCAAGAUAAAUUGGGCCAUAGACAUAUGAAUGCACUGGCUCGACCCAGCUAACUGCUGAGAUAGGGAGCCCUUUAGCUCCCAAACUAGAUUUGCUUCCACAUCAUCCAUUCCACUAACCUGCCAGAGCUAUUGAUGAACAUAUAAGGCAAUGAUUCCCAAAGUGUGGUCCCUGGACCAGCAGCUUCAGCGCCAUCUGGGAACUUUUUGGAAAUACAGAUUUUCAGGUUCCAGCCAAGACCUGCAGACUUUUCAAAAACCCUGGACCUGGGGCUCAGUAGCCUCUAUUUACCAAGCCCUCCAGGAGAUUUUCAUGCAUCUUCAAGUUGAGAACCACUGAUUCUUAAUCUUUGCAGCAUAUUAGUAUCACUGGGGGGGGGGGGGAUUUUUCUUAAAAAACUGACACCAGGAUUCUAUCCUCUAGAGAAUCUGAUCUAAUAGGUUUGGGGUGAAGCCACUGCACUGGUAUGGUUUAAAAGCUCCCCAGAUGAAUCUAAAGUGCAGCCCAGGUUAAGAAUUUGAUUUCAGGCUCUGAGUUCUCACAACAACCUCAGAAACAGGCUGCUGCUUCCAGUCUUUCCCUCCGAUCAGUUCUCCACCUGUCUCUCCACACCCACUCUCCCACCUCAGGAUUUACCUCUAAUCCAGUAGUUCUAGAACUUGACUGUGCCUCAGAAUCACAGUGCCAAGGGGAUUGUGGAAAACAGUUUGCUGGGCCUCAACUCCAAAGUCUCUGAUUCAGUAGAGCUGAGGCAGAGCCCCAGAAUUUACCUUUCUACUAAGUUCCCAGGUGAUGCUCAAGCUGCUGAUCAGACUUCUAACCCCUUGCUCUCUAGUCACUCUGGCCUUGGUGAGAAAAGAAAACUUAUGGCAGUAAUGAGCUUACCUUGCAGGACCUCCAGUCUGCAGAUCGCCAGCCCACUGCAUGGAGUUCACUGCCCUGGACCAGAAGGCAAGGAGGAGCUGAUCAUCCCUAUCUCCGAGUCACUUCCGCAACCUAUACAAUCCACCAUUGUGCUGAAGGGAGCCUGGGCUCCCCCUCCUAUUUCACACCCUCUCUGCCCUGCUGGACAAUAAGCGAAACCAAAGUAGCAACCAUGCUCUGAUCAUCAGUGAUCUCCACACCCAGCACAGCCCUAGCCCAUAUCAGAGGCUUCAUUAUUGAGUGAAUGAAUGAAGCAAUGAAGGAAGAGGAGGAAAGAAAUACUCAGUGAAUUCUACGUCAACUGAAGUCAACUCCUGCAGAACCCAACCAAGGAC